rnacentral:rRNA from 1 species
UCUCGCAUCGAUGAAGAACGCAGCGAAAUGCGAUAAGUAAUGUGAAUUGCAGAAUUCAGUGAAUCAUCGAAUCUUUGAACGCACCUUGCGCUCCUUGGUAUUCCGAGGAGCAUGCCUGUUUGAGUGUCAUUAAAUUCUCAACCUUUAUCAGCUUUUGCUGAUGAUGGCUUGGAUGUGGGGGUUUAUUUUGCUGGCUUCUUUACAGAUGGUCAGCUCCCCUUAAAUGCAUUAGCCGGUGCCCCGCGUGGACUGUCUAUUGGUGUGAUAAUUAUCUACGCCGUGGACAUCUGCAAUCAUAUGGGUUUGCACUGCUUCCAAUCGUCUGUUCAAUCAGACAAUACAUGACAAUUGACCUC